AUGACGAACGCUGGCGGCGUGCUUAACACAUGCAAGUCGAACGGAAAGGCCCUGCUUUUGUGGGGUGCUCGAGUGGCGAACGGGUGGGUAACACGUGAGUAACCUGCCCUUGACUUUGGGAUAACUUCAGGAAACUGGGGCUAAUACCGGAUAGGAGCUCCUGCUGCAUGGUGGGGGUUGGAAAGUUUCGGCGGUUGGGGAUGGACUCGCGGCUUAUCAGCUUGUUGGUGGGGUAGUGGCUUACCAAGGCUUUGACGGGUAGCCGGCCUGAGAGGGUGACCGGCCACAUUGGGACUGAGAUACGGCCCAGACUCCUACGGGAGGCAGCAGUGGGGAAUAUUGCACAAUGGGCGGAAGCCUGAUGCAGCAACGCCGCGUGCGGGAUGACGGCCUUCGGGUUGUAAACCGCUUUCGCCUGUGACGAAGCGUGAGUGACGGUAAUGGGUAAAGAAGCACCGGCUAACUACGUGCCAGCAGCCGCGGUGAUACGUAGGGUGCGAGCGUUGUCCGGAUUUAUUGGGCGUAAAGGGCUCGUAGGUGGUUGAUCGCGUCGGAAGUGUAAUCUUGGGGCUUAACCCUGAGCGUGCUUUCGAUACGGGUUGACUUGAGGAAGGUAGGGGAGAAUGGAAUUCCUGGUGGAGCGGUGGAAUGCGCAGAUAUCAGGAGGAACACCAGUGGCGAAGGCGGUUCUCUGGGCCUUUCCUGACGCUGAGGAGCGAAAGCGUGGGGAGCGAACAGGCUUAGAUACCCUGGUAGUCCACGCUGUAAACGGUGGGUACUAGGUGUGGGGUCCAUUCCACGGGUUCCGUGCCGUAGCUAACGCUUUAAGUACCCCGCCUGGGGAGUACGGCCGCAAGGCUAAAACUCAAAGGAAUUGACGGGGCCCCGCACAAGCGGCGGAGCAUGCGGAUUAAUUCGAUGCAACGCGUAGAACCUUACCUGGGUUUGACAUGGAUCGGGAGUGCUCAGAGAUGGGUGUGCCUCUUUUGGGGUCGGUUCACAGGUGGUGCAUGGCUGUCGUCAGCUCGUGUCGUGAGAUGUUGGGUUAAGUCCCGCAACGGGCGCAACCCUUGUUCACUGUUGCCAGCACGUUAUGGUGGGGACUCAGUGGAGACCGCCGGGGUCAACUCGGAGGAAGGUGGGGAUGACGUCAAGUCAUCAUGCCCCUUAUGUCCAGGGCUUCACGCAUGCUACAAUGGCUGGUACAGAGAGUGGCGAGCCUGUGAGGGUGAGCGAAUCUCGGAAAGCCGGUCUCAGUUCGGAUUGGGGUCUGCAACUCGACCUCAUGAAGUCGGAGUCGCUAGUAAUCGCAGAUCAGCAACGCUGCGGUGAAUACGUUCCCGGGGCUUGUACACACCGCCCGUCAAGUCAUGAAAGUUGGUAACACCCGAAGCCGGUGGCCUAACCGUUGUGGGGGAGCCGUCGAAGGUGGGACUGG
rnacentral:rRNA from 1 species